UACAGAGGGUGCGAGCGUUGUCCGGAAUCACUGGGCGUAAAGGGCUCGUAGGUGGCCAACUAAGUCAGACGUGAAAUCCCUCGGCUUAACCGGGGAACUGCGUCUGAUACUGGAUGGCUUGAGUUUGGGAGAGGGACGCGGAAUUCCAGGUGUAGCGGUGAAAUGCGUAGAUAUCUGGAGGAACACCGGUGGCGAAGGCGGCGUCCUGGACCAAUACUGACACUGAACAGCGAAAGCCAGGGGAGCAAACGGG
rnacentral:rRNA from 1 species